GGAAGAGAGAAUUUCAUGCAUGCAAGACAAAGUAAAGGACCUCAGCUGUCAAUCAAGAAAGAACAUUCCAAAUAGAAUGUUCUCAGGAAAGACAGUUGGAGAGUCAAGCCAGGCUGAAGGGGGAAGAAGCUCCGAACUGGACCCAUGGGCACUCCAAAUUUCCUGUUCGUAGUGAAACUUCUCUUGAUUCUCCAAGUGGCACCUGUCCAGAUUCUCAAGCUUUGACCUCAAGUCGACAAACAUCUGAGCCCAGAUGCUGUCUUGAAAUUCUCACUGAUUCUGGAGUUAUUUUUAGUUGUUUGUGGGGAGUGUUUGGAGGACAAGGAAGCUUCACACCCUACUCCACUACCUCCCCCCCCCCAAGUCUUCCUGACCAAUCCCUCUGCAAAGUUAAAAGGAAUUGACAACUAAAUACAUCUCUCACAUUUAAAGAAAGACCCAAUUCCGGAAGAGACAGCUCAGGACACCACCAGUGAUUUUCAAGCUCCUUCUGACCUGGAAAAAUAAGCAGGUAACAGUAGCAGUAGACCACUUCCUCCAGACUUAGAACAUGGGUUUAGUCAUUGGGUUCAGCAGUGCAUAGAACUCUUUGACAAUUCUCUUGGUCAAUGAUGAGAGAACUCAUCUUGCCCCAAAAUGGGGGAAAUGUUAAAUAAAGUUAUCAGAAGGGGAUAGCUUCA
rnacentral:lncRNA from 1 species